CUGUGCGCAUCUAAGAAGCGAAGAGCAGCUCACGUGCUUCUUCGUUUUAGCGAAACACCUGUCAUAAGCGGCAAGCCGCAACAGCACCACGAAAGCCUCACACGCUCACACUCAUUCACAUGGCUCUUGGACGGCGGUGAGGUGAUAGGCUGGCUCUUGGGCAGAGGGAAGGAGCCGCGAAGGAGGAGAGAGACCGUGUGUGCACGGACCAGCCCACUCUCCUCAUGAAGACCUGUGCCUCGUGUGCUCUGUCGUGGAGAUUCUGUGUGUGUGUGUGGAGGGGGGGUGCCCACCGCCUCUUCUCUCCCUCCUUAGCAUUUGGUGGCUUGCUCGAGAGGCUGCGGCGAGGACAGCAUGUCGAGCCGAGAUGCACACAAACAGGCGUGGUUGCCGGUGCCGCGGACUCAGUCUCCUUCCUCAUGCCGCUCUCACUACGGCCCCUGGAAGGGUGGAGGCCGGAAUCGUGCGACAGGUCUUGGCGCACGCGCUGGCGCUACUGUGGUCCACCGCGUGCGUCUCUCAUUUCAGUGGGUUUCUGGCCAUUGCGAGUUGGAACACAAGGACAAAGUCGACAGGCUCCCGUAAACCGGCAGUGGCGGAGGCGCCGACGCUCACUGCACGGAGCACGAAGUCGGCCACCGGCCUCAUACGCCAGACCGGCAUCCCCCGAAACUGCGCGCUACAGGGCUCGGCACGCUGGGACAAGAGGUGCAUGCGGGAGCCGUCCCACAUUCGAAGGACCGGAGUGCUGAGCUUACGAGGCGACAGGAGGUCAUGCUCGCCCGGUCGCGCACGGGCAGGUGCCCGCACUUUGUAUUCCUGCAACGACGUCCGACUGGCAGCGACCACAACGGGUGCAGGUGAUGUGCUGCCUACUGCUCCGCUAGAACUGCGGUACCCUCACGCCCUCGCCUGUGUUUUGCUGUGAUGAGGUCCGGCUGGGUGUUGUGCCCGAUAUGCUGCUGCGCGAGACUCGCGGGUUUCUCCAGAUACACCUUGUUUCGCGCUAUGAUCUUGCACGCAGUGACCUGGCCACGCACAUCCCGCUCGCGCUGCAUUGGCUUCCCCGCCGGGUGUCUACCGCUGCCCCCACCCCCCGUGCUCCGUCGGAGCGCCGUGCUGUGAGUUUUUUUGUGCGCCGGCACAUGCUCAUCGGCGGGUCCCUUCCGCUGGGCACGCCCCUCUACGACAUGGCCUGAGGCGGCAAGUGAAGGCAGCGAGCCCCCUCUCCCGGCCACGACGCCGCGCUGAGGCGGGCCCCACAGGGCAGAACUGCGAGCACAGAGCCCGCGCGCCGUGAUGCACAGCCGGCACGUCUCGUACAGAACGCAUACAGUGCAUGGAGAGGCCGGAUGAGCAAGAGCGGUGGGCGGGAACGGCGCGAAGCGGAUCAUGCCCGUGAGCCGCAAGGUGCGUGUGCGCGAAGCAUGCGGCACGCCCUCGAUGUGCCCGGGUGGGCUGAUGAGGCGCAGAUGCCGGAAGUGUGGCGAGGGCAUCCCCAGCUGCACCGUCGAGUCCCCCCAGACCUGAAUGUGACGAGCCUGCGGGGAGCCGAUUGUGGAAUGUCGCGACCUGAAGAGACGGAGAGGGUGAAGCAUGGCAGACAGGCAAGUGUGCCGGGCCUCGGAGGGUCCUGACCUGAAUCUCGCUAGCUUCCGCCCCUGAGCUUAUUCGCCAUGCCCCUCUACAACCCCCUGCUACCCGCAAGACAGGCGCCACCGCUUUUGCCCUCGAGCAGGACCCGUGGAUGCGGCUCGCUUUGGAUCAAGGCAUGCUGUCCACACGAGUCUCUGUCUGGCGCCGAUGUCGCAGCACGUACUGGAGGAACGGGCGAGCAAGGGCAAUAGGAGCCCGUUAGACGCAUGGUUUGGUUGAGCAGCGGAUGGCUUAUCCAAGUGGACCAGAGGUAGGCCGUAGUGUGGCAGAGUCAGGCGAGCUGUGGCUGUGUCAUGCGUGCACGCGGGUAGACUUGUUCGUGGCCGAAUAACAUGUAAGAAAGGAUUUGCUCAGUAUUUUUUGUAGCACCACCAGCUCUCCCUCCCUCCCCCCUCCUCCCUCCUACAUCCCGACUGGAUUCACCUGCACUCCUUCCAUCGCUGCAUCUCUCUGCCUCCCUGCCGCUGUUUCGCCGGGGCCUAACCUUUGCGCGCGGAGCGUCGAAG
rnacentral:misc_RNA from 1 species